CUUAGAGAUGCCCAUAAUUUUGUGAGUCUUUAUUUGCAAUAACAUUGAAUGAUGCUUUCUUGGAAUGAUAUGAGAUUGCUCCAAGGUUUAUCUCCCAGACAGUACUUGACAUCAUGAGAUUUUGUAUUUUAUAGGCUUUGUUUUUAUCCUCACCCAUCCUCAAGUUCACCUGUCUUUUUAUUUUACUCAUUCCUUUACCUGACACUUCAGGCCCUCUAGGCUCAGUGAAGUGUUAGUCACUCAGCUGUGUCCGAUUCUUUGCGAUCCCAUGGACUAUAGCCCACCAGAAUCCUCUGUCCAUGGGAUUUCCUAGGCAAGAAUACUGAAGUGGGUUGCCAUUUCCUUCUCCGCCUAGUCUUUAUAUAGUUUUGUUUAUUUUUUAUUAUUAAUAUCAUUCCUCACAGAUGACCUGUCUCUUUACCUGACUGUAGGAAUUGUCUCAUGUGUAGCUUUCAUAGGUUCUGUGGCACCUACCACAACUGAAGGCUAUUGUCUAGUUACUUAAUACAUGUUUGAUUCUUUAGAGAUUGAGUUCAGUUGUAUCUGCCAUUUGGUAAAGCUGGAUUGUUUAAUACACAAUUUAGAAAAUUUGGAAUGGUUUUCUGUGCAGUGUAAGCCCAGCUCUGGGGCCCUGUCAUGGGCUGAAUUGUGUCUCCCCAAAUUUAUAUGUUGAAGUCCUAACCACUCAGUACCUUGGCAUGUGACUGUAUUUGGUAUAUGUGGAGAGAGGGCCUUUAAAGAGGUGAUUAAGUUAAAAUGAGGCCGUUGUUGUGGGCUGUAAUCUCAUCCUACUGGUGUCCUUUCAAGAAGAGGAAAUUGGGAUGCGCAAAGGGAAACCACACACAUAGAAGAAAGAUGUGAGAAUGCGUCAAGAAGAGGGCCGUCUACAAGCCAAGGAGAGAGGCUGCAGAAACCUAGCCUGAUGGCACCUUGAUCUGGAAAUCUUAGCCUUCAGAACUGUGAGAAAAUAAAUCUGUUGGUUCAGCGGCUCAGCCUGUGGUAUUUUGUUAUGGCAGCCUGAGCUGACUAACACAGGCCCUAUAUGCUACCUGUCGAGAGUGACAAGGAACCUCUCAUGGAUGGAUUUCCCAUUUCCAUCUUCUUCCUGCCUCAGUUGGAAGAUUCUAGAUCAUGUCUCCCUGACAGAGAAGAUGAAAUUGAAAAGCAAAGAGUUUCCUCCUUCUCACGCUUUAUGCUUCCUGGUUCUGUGAAGGGUACCCCUGCCUAGAAGCAUUUCCAUCUACUUUAUCUUGAUCUCAGAUCACUUCCCCAGUGAUGAAGCUGGGUGAAGGUAGGGUCCUCAGCUCUCUGAAAUUAAUGUUUUUU
ensembl:lncRNA